rnacentral:rRNA from 1 species
GACGAACGCUGGCGGCGUGCUUAACACAUGCAAGUCGAACGGUAAGGCCCUUCGGGGUACACGAGUGGCGAACGGGUGAGUAACACGUGGGUGAUCUGCCCUGCACUUCGGGAUAAGCCUGGGAAACUGGGUCUAAUACCGGAUAGGACCACUGCCUGCAUGGGCUGUGGUGGAAAGCUUUUGCGGUGUGGGAUGGGCCCGCGGCCUAUCAGCUUGUUGGUGGGGUGAUGGCCUACCAAGGCGACGACGGGUAGCCGGCCUGAGAGGGUGACCGGCCACACUGGGACUGAGAUACGGCCCAGACUCCUACGGGAGGCAGCAGUGGGGAAUAUUGCACAAUGGGCGCAAGCCUGAUGCAGCGACGCCGCGUGAGGGAUGACGGCCUUCGGGUUGUAAACCUCUUUCAGCACCGACGAAGCGCAAGUGACGGUAGGUGCAGAAGAAGGACCGGCCAACUACGUGCCAGCAGCCGCCGCGG